UCUCUCUCUCUCUCUCUCUCUCCCUGUUCGACCUGACAUCAGCAUUUUCCGUCCGUUUGUUCGUUUCAGGAUUUUUUUCGUUUCAACUGAAACUGAAAGUUUCUCUUUGGACAAAUGAAGCUCUGAGAGGAAGGUCGUCACGAUGCAGCGUCCUCUCUGGUUCUUAUCGUCGUGUUUGUGGUUGCUCUGUGUGAAGGAGGUUUGGAUGGCGACCUUCAAGCUUGCUCUGAUUGGUCCAUGGUCAUGUGACCCCCUGUUCUCACGGGCGAUGCCGACGGCGGCGGCCAACCUGGCGUUGUCACGGUUACGGGGUGACAGCAGCCUGAGCAGAGGAUAUUGGUACGAUGUGAAACUAUUGGACGAGGAUUGCUCCGCCUCCAAAGCUCUGACAGAACUUGCAGAGAUGGAUGGUUAUGGCCACGCCUACAUCGGGCCUUUUAACCCCGCCCUCUGUCACGCCGCCUCCUUAUUAGCUCAGCACUGGGAGGCGGGACUUGCCUCUCCAGGCUGUCUGGAUGCCGAUUGGCCGAACCUGCCGCCCGUCCCUCCUCCCAGCAGAGUCCUGUUCGCCGUGCUGAGGUUUUUCCGCUGGGCUCACGUCGGCGUCGUCUCAGCUCCAUCCAGCCUGUGGGAGAACACCGGACAGGAAGUGGCCUCAGCGCUCCGGGCUAUGGGCCUGCCGAUCGGUCCGGUGGUUACCAUGGAAACAAAGAACAAGGGCGGAGCUCGGGAGGCGCUGAGAGCAAUCAGAGAGGCCGACGAGGUCAAAGUGGUGAUCAUGUGCAUGAGCUCCGUCCUGAUUGGUGGAGAGGAUCAGAGAGAGCUCCUAUUGGCUGCUCUGGACAUGGGAAUGGUUUCUGACGGUUACGUGUUUAUACCGUACGACGCCCUGCUGUACGCCAUGCCGUACCAGGAGACGGCGUUCCCUCAGCUAACCAACAGCACGCAGCUUCGUCACGCCUAUGGCUCCGUCCUGACCGUUACCAUGGCAUCUGACCAGAGUUUCUACGAAUCUUUUCGUGAGGCUCAGAUCAGCCGAGAGAUCCGCUCGUCUGUCGCUGCGACAGAGGUGUCUCCAGUCUUCGGGACCGUCUAUAACAUGGUGUACUUUGUGGCGAAGGCGGUGGAGGAGCGUCGUCAGGCGGGGGGCGGGCACUGGGUGACAGGUGACCAGCUCGUCCAAUCAGACGGAGGCUUUGAUUUCCAGGGCUUCAAUCAGGUGUUGUAUGGGGGUAGAGAGGGGCGUGGCCUGCAGGCCAGGUACGUGGUGUUGGACAGCGACGGCGACAGACUCGUGCCGACGCACUCGCUCGCUCCGACGCACACGGACGGGACGGUCGGAGGUCUGAGGCCACUGAGCCGCUCCUUCACCUUCCCCGGAGGAAAACCCCCCACAGCCAGCUUCUGUUGGUUCAGUCCAGAGGAGGCCUGCGGCGGGGGCGUGGACACACUGACCCUGUCCUCUGUCUUCCUGUUACUCUGCGCUGUGAUUGGAGCGUUUUUCUACUGGAUCAGGAAGUACCACAGAGCAGAGAACUUAACAAAACUGAUCCUGAGUCUGGACGACAUCGUUUUCAUCGACACUCAGGUCAGCAGGAAGAAACUGAACGAUGAAUCCAUCAUGAGGAGUUUGCUGGAAAUUAAAACUCCGUUCCGCUCAAUCGCUCGAAGCUACAUCCUGACGACACCUGAGAGCUCGAACAUAGGAAUACUGGAGGGCGACUGGGUUUGGCUGAAGAAGAUUCCUGUUGGGAUGACGAUGACGGCUGUCAAUCAAAACACCCAGAGUCUGUUCAGCCACCUGCGGGAGAUGAGACACGAGAACCUGAACCUGUACCUGGGACUGUUCCUGGACUCGGGGAUCUUCGCUCUGGUGGUCGAACACUGUCCCCGAGGGAGUCUGUCCGACCUGCUGUCCGACAGCAGCAUGAGGCUGGACUGGAUGUUCAAGUCGUCGCUGCUGAUGGAUCUGAUCAAGGGGAUGAAGUAUCUUCAUCUUCGAGGUCUGAGUCACGGUCGACUAAAGUCCACAAACUGUUUAGUCGAUGGACGUUUUGUUCUGAAAGUCACAGACUACGGACUUCCCAUGAUCCUUCACUCUCAGGGCCUCAGCCACUCUGACGAUCCUCAGGAGCUGCUGUGGACGGCUCCGGAGCUUUUGAGAAAUCCGGUCCGAGGAGGCUCGUUUGCUGGAGAUGUCUUCAGUUUCUCCAUCAUCAUACAGGAAGUGAUCUCACGAACUCUGCCGUACGCCAUGAUGGACAUGCCCGCCCACGAGAUUGUGGAGCGUCUGAAGCAGCCCCCCCCCCUCUGCAGACCGGUGGUUUCUGUGGACGAAGCUCCGGCCGAGUGUCUCAGUCUGAUGAACGAGUGUUGGAACGAAGACCCGAGUAAGAGGCCGAGCUUCGAUGACGUCUUCAAACAGUUCCGGGGAAUAAACCGAGGAAAGCGGGCGAACAUCAUCGACUCCAUGCUGCGGAUGUUGGAGCAGUACAGCUCCAACCUGGAGGAUCUGAUCAGAGAGAGAACCGACGAACUGGAGGUCGAGAGAAACAAGACGGAGAAGCUGAUUGGACAACUGCUGCCGAAGUCGGUGGCUCAGGCUCUGAAGAAAGGGAAACCAGUUCGACCUGAACAUUAUUCAGACUCGACUCUUUACUUCAGCGACAUCGUUGGAUUCACGACCAUCUCAGCUCUGAGUGAACCCAUCGAGGUGGUCGACCUGCUGAACGACCUGUACACCAUGUUUGACGCCAUCAUCGCCACUCACGACGUGUACAAGGUGGAAACCAUCGGCGACGCCUACAUGGUGGCUUCAGGCGUCCCCAACAGGAACGGGAACCGACACGCAGCCGAGGUGGCGAACAUGUCGCUGGACAUCCUGCACUCGAUCGGAGCGUUUAAGAUCAAACACAUGCCGGAGAUCAAAGUGAAGAUCCGCAUAGGACUACACACAGGUCCUGUGGUCGCAGGUGUGGUCGGUCUCACGAUGCCCAGGUAUUGUCUGUUCGGAGACACCGUUACCACGGCGUCACACAUGGAGGCCAGCGGACUGCCGUACAGGAUCCACAUCAGCCUGAGCACCGUGAAGGUCCUCACCAGUCUCAAACUGGGAUAUCACAUCGACACCAGGCAGACUCAGGUGAAGGGCUCAGAGGACACGUACUGGCUCACCGGGAGGGACGGGUUCACCAAACCUCUGCCUGUUCCUCCAGACCUCAGUGGGGGGGCCAGUAACCAUGGAAUCAGUCUGGACGAGAUCCCAGUGGAGAGACGACAGAAGUUCCUGGACAGACAGAAGAAGAUCAAGAAAUGAUGCCAACACACACACACUCACACUCACACACACACACACACACACACACACUCACACACACACUCACACUCACACACAUUCUACCUCGACUUUGUUUUAUUUUAUUAAUUCGUCUCAUUUUCAGCCAAAAAGCAGGAAACAGUUUGUAAGAUUCUUAAAUUGUGUGAAAUGUGAAUGAAGUUCUGAACUGACGUCGGUGACAUGAGAACAUUCAGCUCUGAUCAGUUUAACUUCAGUUCAUCAGGUUUAAAUUGAACUUCCUGCGUCUGAAACAGUGAAACAGUGAAACGAUGAAACAGUGAAACAGUGAUGAGGACAGUUUACAGUAAACCCACAGUCACAGUGUUAAAGGACAAAUGUCUUUUAAUCAACCUUGUUUCUCAUGAAUGUCUCCACCGUGUCUGUGUCGUCUUCUGUGGACACUUGGAGAAAUGAGGACAGGAAUGUAAACCUGAACACGUGUGUGUUGGACACAGAGUCAGCUGACCUGCUGAUCACAUGACUUUCCUGAGAUGACAACAUGACCACAGACAGACAGAGCUUCAUUCAUUCAUCCAUUCACU